GUCGACCGUAAGAAAGAAAAGGAAAAGAAAAGGUAAAGCAAAGCGCUAAGGAUGGCUACAGUUCGUCGAGACAAAAGCUUUUUGUCUCAAGUCUACCUAGCCGCGUGUCAGAAGUAAGAAACGAAAAUCUUUCGGAGGUUUUCGCACUCUUUCGUUAGUAAAUAAUGCAUACAAGAAUUAAUAUUGGAAUGACAAUUUAUUACGUUAGAGGGAAGAAACGUAUUUUUAAGAGAAACCGUCGUUAACCAGGCUUUUUGGAGAGAAUGUAUUGUCUGAUAUACUACGCAACGGCCAAUUAAAAUACAUUAUUGUCCUAACGAGCCGAAUGAGAUGCAUAAGUUACGCAUGCUCAAUUGAUAAUGACGUUUUACGCCUGUGUGCGAACGGCGGUUCUCUCGCCUCUAAUACAGGAAAAACGUUAUACUUGCAAUAUUUUAUCACGCGCUAAGACAAACUCGAUCCUCAUUAUCAGUAUUUAUUUCUCACCACGUUGUUAUGUUAUGAAAUAUCGAGAAGACCGAGAAGAAGCAUAAUUUUUGAAGAGUUUUAAUAAACAAAUCAAUUACAUGAGAUUUACAAUUCUGUAAAUUUUCAUAUCAACGAUGCUAUCGUUGAGAAUUUAUCUAAACAAGCCAACUGCUCUCUCAUGCAGGAAUGGAUAUUUGAGUCUUCCAGAAACUUAAAGUUAAUAAUUGACGAUUAAGAAACUGAAACUAAGGUCUAGCCGAAAAUAUUAAACUCGCAAAUGAUUCACACACAGCAUAACAAGAAAUCCUGAUUCAACUCUCGUCAAAACUUUCGCAAGGAGCAUAAGGAAAAAAAGAGAGAAAGCAAAAUUAUUUCUUCGUGAUAAAUCUAAUUGAGGAAAA